GGAUUCAGCAGGAGAUAUUGAGGCCACAUCAGGAUGUCCACAAUGCAGUUGGGCUCCAGUUUCAGUGGGGGGGCUCCCAUACUAACAGGACUCUGCUCAGUUGCCUUGGCGUGGACACAAGAAACGUUGUGUUCACUGGGAGGAAUAAGCAGUCUGUGACUGUGCCUGCUUUUGCAUCCAGCCUGGGAAUGCUUGAGCCAACCAAAGAUGCUGUGCCAGCUGCCUGCUCUUCAGGAAGCACAGCUGUUACAGCACAAGCACCUCCAGAGCCCCGGGAUAUACCGGGCCCCUCAACACAUUCAGCGCAGGAGGAGCUCCCUUCCAGCCAGCUGGACUGGAGCGGUCGUGGCCUUAGCAGCUCUCAGGACGGUACGUCCCCUCGCCGAGCCCCACAUUUCUGGGGUCGGAAGUAGACUACCAGUCAUGGCUUCUAUUAUCAAACCAAACCUUUUGUUAAGAUUUAACUCUGGGCUUCUCACUAUCUUCACAGCAUGUGCUUUUUCUCUUUGAAUUUACUGUGUUUCCCCUUAAGGCACUUUGCAGUAAUACGGGAUCACAACAUGUCAUCAAAAUAUAAUAUUUUCCUUUAAUAAUAAUUUCCUCUCAAGAAUAACAAUCAUCCAGUAUUUUGAAAUUAUGACCAAAAACAGGGGAAACACUGUGCUGAUCUCCCUUUUUGCCCUUUUUCUUCACCUGUUGUAUUUACCUGUUGUCCUGUUGAGAAAAGAUUUAUCUCAGUAUUUAUCAGUCUAAUUUAUUUAUGGACAAUUUCUAAUGAACUCACACCUGAUGUGUAAGAAGCCUAUUGAAGACAUGAUGUGCAUACUAACCUGUUUCUUUUCUGUUUUGUGGUUGACUCACUGAGCAUGAAAAUAACAUGCACUCUGAAUAAUUAACAGAUUUGUUCUU